GAGCAGAUGAUGAUUCCAUAUCUUUAUGCUGAUACAUAUGAUGUAUCAAAAUCGAGCUUUUUAAAACUGAUGCCCA
rnacentral:snoRNA from 1 species